CCUGCCUGGAAAGCCCCAGGCUGCGGCCUAGCAUAAGGCCAAGAGGUAUUAAGAGCUCACAGUAAUCAACCCUGAAACCUCUCAGAAAUUUUCCAGCAAAUCCAAUGAAGACAAGACUUGACAUUCCUGCUAUAUAUAAAGUGAAGAAAUGAAAAACCCACACCCCUCCUUAACUCAUCAUAAAGAACUAAAAAAAAGACAGCCCAAUAUUUUUUGUUAUGCUUCUUUGCAGAUCACCUUUAAAUCUGCAUUCUAGCUCUGUUACAGUUAAUGGAGACUUUAUUAAAGUAUUUAUGAUGAAGGGCAUAGUAUAAAAACAUUCAAUCUCUCUUUUUUUGUAUUGGCUCGUAAUACGAGAGCAAGAGUUCAUGCAAU